rnacentral:rRNA from 1 species
AGAGUUUGAUCCUGGCUCAGGAUGAACGCUGGCGGCGUGCCUAAUACAUGCAAGUCGAACGCUUCACUUCGGUGAAGAGUGGCGAACGGGUGAGUAAUACAUAAGUAACCUGGCAUCUACAGGGGGAUAACUGAUGGAAACGUCAGCUAAGACCGCAUAGGUGUAGAGAUCGCAUGAACUCUAUAUGAAAAGUGCUACGGGACUGGUAGAUGAUGGACUUAUGGCGCAUUAGCUUGUUGGUAGGGUAACGGCCUACCAAGGCGACGAUGCGUAGCCGACCUGAGAGGGUGACCGGCCACACUGGGACUGAGACACGGCCCAGACUCCUACGGGAGGCAGCAGUAGGGAAUCUUCGGCAAUGGGGGCAACCCUGACCGAGCAACGCCGCGUGAGUGAAGAAGGUUUUCGGAUCGUAAAGCUCUGUUGUAAGUCAAGAACGAGUGUGAGAGUGGAAAGUUCACACUGUGACGGUAGCUUACCAGAAAGGGACGGCUAACUACGUGCCAGCAGCCGCGGUAAUACGUAGGUCCCGAGCGUUGUCCGGAUUUAUUGGGCGUAAAGCGAGCGCAGGCGGUUUGAUAAGUCUGAAGUUAAAGGCUGUGGCUCAACCAUAGUUCGCUUUGGAAACUGUCAAACUUGAGUGCAGAAGGGGAGAGUGGAAUUCCAUGUGUAGCGGUGAAAUGCGUAGAUAUAUGGAGGAACACCGGUGGCGAAAGCGGCUCUCUGGUCUGUAACUGACGCUGAGGCUCGAAAGCGUGGGGAGCGAACAGGAUUAGAUACCCUGGUAGUCCACGCCGUAAACGAUGAGUGCUAGGUGUUGGAUCCUUUCCGGGAUUCAGUGCCGCAGCUAACGCAUUAAGCACUCCGCCUGGGGAGUACGACCGCAAGGUUGAAACUCAAAGGAAUUGACGGGGGCCCGCACAAGCAGUGGAGUAUGUGGUUUAAUUCGAAGCAACGCGAAGAACCUUACCAGGUCUUGACAUCCGAUGCAUAGCUUAGAGAUACGUGAAGUCCUUCGGGACAUCGAGACAGGUGGUGCAUGGUUGUCGUCAGCUCGUGUCGUGAGAUGUUGGGUUAAGU